rnacentral:lncRNA from 1 species
CUAGGGAAGUCCGUUUGGGAUUUAUCUGAUGUGGAAGCUCAUCCGAAGAUCGUCCAUCGGAGAAGUCUGAUUUUAUGGGGAGCCUGGUAGGAGGUCGGCCGGCAAUAGACUUCGGAUAGCGCUGGAGAGGCUCGGCAGCCAUCAGAGGCGAUCAGCUAUUGCAGGGACCCAGUUGUUGGAGCUCGUCCGUCAUAGAAGCUCGUCUGGAAUCCAUCCACUGGAGAAGUUCGGAUGGGCUUCGGUUCUCACG